rnacentral:rRNA from 1 species
GAUCCAGACUCCUACGGGAGGCAGCAGUGGGGAAUAUUGGGCAAUGGGCGAAAGCCUGACCCAGCAAUGCCGCGUGAAUGAAGAAGGUCUUAGGAUUGUAAAAUUCUGUCCUAUGGGAAGAAACAAAUGACGGUACCAUAGGAGGAAGCCCCGGCUAACUACGUGCCAGCAGCCGCGGUAAUACGUAGGGGGCGAGCGUUGUCCGGAUUUACUGGGUGUAAAGGGAGCGUAGACGGCAUGGCAAGUCUGAUGUGAAAACCCGGGGCUCAACCCCGGGACUGCAUUGGAAACUGUCAGGCUAGAGUGUCGGAGAGGCAAGUGGAAUUCCUAGUGUAGCGGUGAAAUGCGUAGAUAUUAGGAGGAACACCGGCGGCGAAGGCGGCCUGCUGGACCGAAACUGACGUUGAGGCUCGAAAGCGUGGGGAGCAAACAGGAUUAGAUACCCCGGUAUC